rnacentral:sRNA from 1 species
UUUCCAUUCAGCUGACAGACACCAUUCCUGAAUCAGCUGCGGAUGACCGAAGGCUGCACGUCCUGGAUUUGCUGAAAGCUGAGGAGAGCCAGUUCAGCCAAUGAGAUUGGUCGCUGCUUCUUGAAGAGAAAAAGUAAACUCUCCAUGAGUGUCUCACAGUUCCUGGCCACCACGUCAGGAGAAGGCCCUGAACUGAAAACUAAAGCAAGAAACCCUGACUGGUUCCCAUUCUCACUCUAAGGUUCCUCUUAACCAGUAACUGCUGUCAGCCAUUGCAGGGCCCUUAGUUAGCUCUCCUACUCCUGCUGAUUAUGGUUGGCCCCUGCGUCAUUAAUGCCUUGACCAGAUAUAUACAUUCCUGAUUGGGAGCUACUAAGUAGAUGGUAAUUUAAGUUCCAAUAUGAAUAGGCACCCACCACAGAGUCAAAGGUUUGACUCAGGAUACAGCUUGUCUUAGUCAGGGUUUCUACUGCUACAAUGAAACACCGUGACUGAAAAGCAGAUCGCAGCACAGGGCUUAUGCAGCCUACACUUUCUCAGUAUUGUUCAUCAUUAAAGGAAGUCAGGACAGGAACUGAAACAGGACAGAAACCUGGAAGAAGGAGCUAAUGCAGAAGUAUGGAGGGGGUGCUGCUUACUGGCUUGCUUCCCUGGCUUGAACAGUUUACUUUCUUAAAGAACCCAGGACCACCAGUCCAGGGGUGGAAACACCCACAGUGGGCUGGAUCCUCCCCAUUAAUCACUAAGAAAAUUGCCUUAUAGCUUGAUCUUAUGGAGCCAUUUAUCUCAGUUGAGGUUCCCUCCUUUUAGAUAACUGGGAUGCCAAGUUCAUAUAAGACUAGCCAACACCCAACUCAAGGGGGAAAGUCAUGGCUAACAUGUGGAUGGGUAACUUUAUAUUUAAAAGUUUCAGUUUACUAUGUUUAAGGUAACUAUAAAGCAAAACUGGAUUUUCGAAUGUUAAGGGCUGUUCAGGAUUAAUUUUGUAACUGUCUGGUGGACUCUUACAGCUUUAAUAAAACCACUUUCUACUUCUACAGAAAA